rnacentral:rRNA from 1 species
GACGAACGCUGGCGGCGUGCUUAAUACAUGCAAGUCGAACGGAAAGGCCCUGCUUUUGUGGGGUGCUCGAGUUGCGAACGGGUGAGUAACACGUGAGUAACCUGCCCUUGACUUUGGGAUAACUUUUGGAAACUGGGGCUAAUACCGGAUAGGAGCUCCUGCUGCAUGGUGGGGGCUGGAAAGGUUCGGUGGUUGGGGAUGGACGUGCGGCUUAUUAGUUUGUUGGUGGGGUAGUGGUUUACCAAGGCGUUGACGGGGAGCCGGCCUGAGAGGGUGACCGGCCACAUUGGGACUGAGGUAGGGCCCGGACGCCUACGGGGGGAAUCGGUGGAGAAUAGUGCACAAUGGGCGGAAGGCGGGAAGAGCAACGCCGCGUGCGAGAGGACGGCCGUCGGGGUGUAAACCGCGUUCGCCUGUGACGAAGCGUGAGUGACGGUAAUUGGUAAAGAAGCACCGGCUAACUACGUG